rnacentral:rRNA from 1 species
AUUGAACGCUGGCGGCAGGCCUAACACAUGCAAGUCGAGCGAGCGGCGGACGGGUGAGUAAUGUAUGGGGACUGCCCGAUAGAGGGGGAUAACUACUGGAAACGGUAGCUAAUACCGCAUACUAUCGGAUAACCCAUAUGGGAUUAGCUAGUAGGUGAGGUAAUGGCUCACCUAGGCGACGAUCCAUAGCUGGUCUGAGAGGAUGAUCAGCCACACUGUGACUGUGACACGGCCCAGAACCCUACGGGGGCAGCAGUGGGGAAUAUUGCACAAGGGGCGAAAGCCUGAUGCAGCCAGGCCGGGUGUAUGAAGAAGGCCCUAGGGUUGUAAAGUACUUUCAGUCGGGAGGCGUUGCCGAAAGAAGAAGCACCGGCGAAGUCCGUGACAGCAGCCGCGGUAAUUC